AGAGUUUGAUCCUGGCUCAGAGUGAACGCUGGCGGCGUGGAUUAGGCAUGCAAGUCGAGCGAUAUUUCAGGUGAAAAAGUUGAAGCCGUAAGGCAGAUGCAGAUUCGCUUGUUUUAUAGCGGCAGACUGGUGAGUAACACGUGAGUAAUCUACCUCCAAAUCAGGGAUAGCCUUGCGAAAGUAAGGGUAAUACCAGAUGUGUUUAUAGAAACAUAUGUUUUUAUAAGUAAAGUCGGCUCGCAAGAGUUGAUGUUUGGAGCUGAGCUCGCGUCCUAUCAGCUAGUUGGUAAGGUAACGGCUUACCAAGGCUUUUGACGGGUAGCUGGCCUGAGAGGGUGGUCAGCCACACGGGGACUGAGACACUGCCCCGACUCCUACGGGAGGCUGCAGUCGAGGAUCUUUAGCAAUGGGCGAAAGCCUGACUAUGCGACGCCGCGUGAGGGAUGAAGGUUUUCGGAUCGUAAACCUCUUUCGAUGGGGAAGAAUGCUGCCAUGCAAAUGGUAGCUUGACGGUACCUAGAGAAGAAGCCACGGCCAACUCCGUGCCAGCAGCCGCGGUAAUACGGGGGUGGCAAGCGUUACUCGGAUUUAUUGGGUGUAAAGGGCAGGUAGGCGUUCCACCAAGUUAGAAGUGAAAUCCUUUGGCUCAACCAAAGAACUGCUUCUAAAACYGGCGGAAUUGAGGCUAAAAGAGGAGAGCGGAAUUCCCGGUGUAAGGGUGAAAUCUGUAGAUAUCGGGAGGAACACCAGURGCGAAAGCGGCUCUCUAGUUUAGUCCUGACGCUGAGCUGCGAAAGCUAGGGGAGCAAACAGGAUUAGAUACCCUGGUAGUCC
rnacentral:rRNA from 1 species